UAGGGAAUUUUCCGCAAUGGACGAAAGUCUGACGGAGCAACGCCGCGUGAGUGAAGAAGGAUUUCGGUUCGUAAAACUCUGUUGUUAGGGAAGAAAAAAUGUAUAGUAACUAUAUACAAAAGAGACGGUACCUAACCAGAAAGCCACGGCUAACUACGUGCCAGCAGCCGCGGUAAUACGUAGGUGGCAAGCGUUGUCCGGAAUUAUUGGGCGUAAAGCGCGCGCAGGUGGUUUAGAAAGUCUGAUGUUAAAGCCCACGGCUCAACCGUGGAGGGUCAUUGGAAACUAAUAAACUUGAGUGCAGGAGAGAAAAGUGGAAUUCCUAGUGUAGCGGUGAAAUGCGUAGAGAUUAGGAGGAACACCGGUGGCGAAAGCGGCUUUUUGGCCUGCAACUGACACUGAGGCGCGAAAGCGUGGGGAGCAAACAGG
rnacentral:rRNA from 1 species